CUACGGGAGGCACCAGUGGGGAAUAUUGCACAAUGGGCGCAAGCCUGAUGCAGCCAUGCCGCGUGUAUGAAGAAGGCCUUCGGGUUGUAAAGUACUUUCAGCGGGGAGGAAGGGAGUAAAGUUAAUACCUUUGCUCAUUGACGUUACCCGCAGAAGAAGCACCGGCUAACUCCGUGCCAGCAGCCGCGGUAAUACGGAGGGUGCAAGCGUUAAUCGGAAUUACUGGGCGUAAAGCGCACGCAGGCGGUUUGUUAAGUCAGAUGUGAAAUCCCCGGGCUCAACCUGGGAACUGCAUCUGAUACUGGCGAGCUUGAGGCUCGUAGAGGGGGGUAGAAUUCCAGGUGUAGCGGUGAAAUCCGUAGAGAUCUGGAGGAAUACCGGUGGCGAAGGCGGCCCCCUGGACGAAGACUGACGCUCAGGUGCGAAAGCGUGGGGAGCAAACAGGAUUAGAUACCCGCGUAGUC
rnacentral:rRNA from 1 species